GACGAACGCUGGCGGCGUGCUUAACACAUGCAAGUCGAACGGUGAUGCUCCAGCUUGCUGGCGUGGAUCAGUGGCGAACGGGUGAGUAACACGUGAGCAACCUGCCCCAGACUCUGGAAUAAGCGCUGGAAACGGCGUCUAAUACUGGAUACGAAACUGGCCCGCAUGGGCAUGGUUUGGAAAGUUUUUCGGUUUGGGAUGGGCUCGCGGCCUAUCAGCUUGUUGGUGAGGUAAUGGCUCACCAAGGCGACGACGGGUAGCCGGCCUGAGAGGGCGACCGGCCACACUGGGACUGAGACACGGCCCAGACUCCUACUGGAGGCAGCAGUGGGGAAUAUUGCACAAUGGGCGAAAGCCUGAUGCAGCGACGCCGCGUGAGGGAUGACGGCCUUCGGGUUGUAAACCUCUUUCAGCAGGGAAGAAGCGAAAGUGACGGUACCUGCAGAAGAAGCACCGGCUAACUACGUG
rnacentral:rRNA from 1 species